rnacentral:rRNA from 1 species
AUUGAACGCUGGCGGAAUGCUUUACACAUGCAAGUCGAACGGUAGAGGGGGCAACCCCUUGAGAGUGGCGAACGGGUGAGUAAUAUAUCGGAACGUGCCCAGUCGUGGGGAUAACGUAGCGAAAGUUACGCUAAUACCGCAUACGAUCUAAGGAUGAAAGCGGGGGGAUCGCAAGACCUCGCGCGAUUGGAGCGGCCGAUAUCAGAUUAGGUAGUUGGUGGGGUAAAGGCUCACCAAGCCAACGAUCUGUAGCUGGUCUGAGAGGACGACCAGCCACACUGGGACUGAGACACGGCCCAGACUCCUACGGGAGGCAGCAGUGGGGAAUUUUGGACAAUGGGCGCAAGCCUGAUCCAGCAAUGCCGCGUGCAGGAUGAAGGCC